rnacentral:Y_RNA from 1 species
GGCUGGUCUGAAGUAAUGAGUUAUCUCACUUGAUUGUUCACAGUCAGUUACAGAUUGAACUUCUUGUUUUACUACUUCCCCUCCUCUUCACUACUGCACUUGACUAGUCAAAA